CCUACGGGGGGCAGCAGUGGGGAAUAUUGCACAAUGGGCGAAACCCUGAUGCAGCAACGCCGCGUGAGUGAAGAAGGCUCUCGGUAUGUAAAGCUCUAUCAGCAGGGAAGAAAAUGACGGUACCUGACUAAGAAGCACCGGCUAACUACGUACCAGCAGCCGCGGUAUUACGUAUGGUGCAAGCGUUAUCCGGAUUUACUGGGUGUAAAGGGAGCGCAGGCGGCGCGGCAAGUCAGAUGUGAAAGCCCGGGGCUCAACCCCGGGACUGCAUUGGAAACUGCCGUGCUAGAGUGUCGGAGAGGAAAGUGGAAUUCCUAGUGUAGCGGUGAAAUGCGUAGAUAUUAGGAGGAACACCAGUGGCGAAGGCGGCUUGCUGGACGACAACUGACGCUGAGGCUCGAAAGCGUGGGGAGCAAACAGGAUUAGAUACCCCAGUAGUC
rnacentral:rRNA from 1 species